rnacentral:snRNA from 1 species
GAGCCCAAGGUUUCACCCAUGCUGGGCAAGUGACAGAGAAGAUUAGCACAACCCCUGCACAAGGGUGACACAAUGCCAAUUUGUGAAGCAUUUCAUAUUUUU